GUAAACUGUCACAACAGUUUAUACCCAUACUAACCCGAGUAUGCCCAGUGUCUUCUGCUAUAGAAAGCUAAGCAGGGUUGGGUCUGGUUAGUACUUGGUAACCACCUGAGAAUAGCAGGUACUGUUUGGG
rnacentral:rRNA from 1 species